rnacentral:rRNA from 1 species
GAUGAACGCUGGCGGCGUGCCUAACACGUGCAAGUCGAGCGAUUCUCUUCGGAGAAGAGCGGCGGACGGGUGAGUAACGCGUGGGUAACCUGCCCUGUACACACGGAUAACAUACCGAAAGGUAUGCUAAUACGAGAUAAUAUACUUUUAUCACAUGGUAGAAGUAUCAAAGCUUUUGCGGUACAGGAUGGACCCGCGUCUGAUUAGCUAGUUGGUAAGGUAACGGCUUACCAAGGCGACGAUCAGUAGCCGACCUGAGAGGGUGAUCGGCCACAUUGGAACUGAGACACGGUCCAAACUCCUACGGGAGGCAGCAGUGGGGAAUAUUGCACAAUGGGCGAAAGCCUGAUGCAGCAACGCCGCGUGAGUGAUGAAGGCCUUCGGGUCGUAAAGCUCUGUCCUCAAGGAAGAUAAUGACGGUACUUGAGGAGGAAGCCCCGGCUAACUACGUGCCAGCCGCCGCGGUAA